GCCCGGGGUGUCAGUUGGUUAGAGUGCCAUACUAAUACUGGUCUUAGGAUGCCCUAAUACUGUGAUGCGGAUGUCUUGGGUUCGACCCCCAAAUUGAGCA
rnacentral:tRNA from 1 species